GUGAACACUAGAGUUUGGAACAGAACGUGAAACACAUAGCAAAAACGAGAAUAAGCAAAAUAACUUCCAACCGUCAUCAGUCCCAAACGCGAUUUUUAGGAUAAGUGCUUUUUCAAACGUGCUUCUUAUGAGUCUCUUAUGCAACAACAACAUUUAAAUCUACUCGUGAUUUCUCAAUCAGUUUCGGUUUUAACUCGUGUUCAUAUUUGGUUCAUGGUUACGGUUCAAAAUCGGUUCAGUUCGAAAUUGCUGGUUUCGGUUCAGCUCUUAUGGUAUCACCUCAGAAUUCGUUUCAUUUCCAGUAAGCAACUGCAUUUUGGUUCGAAGUUUACGGUUCCUAAUUCGUUCAUGUUCGACGACGCAUUUGGUGCAUAACUUUUCAUGUUUCAGCUUCGAAUUCUUCUCCUUCUCUUUUGUUUUGAUUUGUAGUGUUGUUAUUUGUUUUUAUUCCAGAUUGGAGCUUCUAUAUCCAUUGCGAUUUGGUUAAUGUUUUUGAUGUUUCGCAGAUGCACACCAAGUGUUUGAUUUGUUAUUGAAAAGGGUUGCGGUAAUUAUUCUUGGCGGCAUUUCUUGCGGUAUAUGGUGAAUUAAUGAUGAAGGUUGAAAUUAGUGAUGAAAGAGGUCAAGUUUUGGCAUUGACAAGAUGCUAAAUUUUCUAUUGUUUUUGUUCAUGGCAAGGUUUGGAUUUUCACGGCAAUCGUUCAUUCAAGAUGAAAAGCAAAGAAAAUAAGCAUGCAAAGAUAACUCAAACAAGCAAGCAAGCAAUCAUUCAUGGAGUGAUAAAUAGAGAUUGAGGCUUAUCGAUCGGAGACCCUCCGAUGGUUCUUCAAUGGCGGCGCAAAUUCAAUCCGGAAGAACUAUGAGAUGAAGUGUGGUGGAGGUUUAUGCUCAAGUUGAUUGAAGUUUCAAUGUGAAGCUUCAACAACCAUGGAUUUGAGCUCGAGGGAAGGUUGAAAAUGGAGAAUGGAUAGUCAAAACUUGAGAGAAAAUGAAGAAUGAGAGUAAUCAAAAAGUGAAAAAACCUAGUGAGUGAAUGAUGAAUAUUUAUAUAUACUAGGUGAGGGAUAACUAGGUGAGGGAUAACUAGAAGUUGAAAAUUAGUUAGAAAAUUGUUGAGGCUGUUUUGGGCACUUUGGACAAUUGCCCAAAGUAGUUAGAGCAUCUUCAACCGUGAACCCAUUUUUGGGUUCUUUGUGGGACCUAUUAAGCCACGUCAGCUUCAAGUAACUCAACUACUUUUUCACUCCAAUGGUGCAACU